rnacentral:rRNA from 1 species
AUUGAACGCUGGCGGCAUGCUUUACACAUGCAAGUCGAACGGCAGCGCGGGCUUCGGCCUGGCGGCGAGUGGCGCACGGGUGAGUAAUGCAUCGGAACGUGCCCAGUAGUGGGGGAUAGCCCGGCGAAAGCCGGAUUAAUACCGCAUACGACCUGCGGGUGAAAGCGGGGGACCGAAAGGCCUCGCGCUCUUGGAGCGGCCGAUGUCGGAUUAGCUAGUUGGUGGGGUAAAGGCUUACCAAGGCGACGAUCCGUAGCUGGUCUGAGAGGACGACCAGCCACACUGGGACUGAGACACGGCCCAGACUCCUACGGGAGGCAGCAGUGGGGAAUGUUGGACAAAGGGGGCAACCCUGAUCCAGCCAUGCCGCGUGCGAGAAGAAGGCCUUCGGGUUGUAAACCGCUUUUGUUCGGGAAGAAAUCCUCUGGGCUAAUACCCCGGGUGGAUGACGGUACCGGAAGAAUAAGCACCGGCUAACUACGUG